GCAGUGGGGAAUAUUGCACAAUGGGCGAAAGCCUGAUGCAGCGACGCCGCGUGAGGGAUGACGGCCUUCGGGUUGUAAACCUCUUUCAGCAGGGAAGAAGCGAAAGUGACGGUACCUGCAGAAGAAGCGCCGGCUAACUACGUGCCAGCAGCCGCGGUAAUACGUAGGGCGCAAGCGUUGUCCGGAAUUAUUGGGCGUAAAGAGCUCGUAGGCGGCUUGUCACGUCGAUUGUGAAAGCCCGAGGCUUAACCUCGGGUCUGCAGUCGAUACGGGCUAGCUAGAGUGUGGUAGGGGAGAUCGGAAUUCCUGGUGUAGCGGUGAAAUGCGCAGAUAUCAGGAGGAACACCGGUGGCGAAGGCGGAUCUCUGGGCCAUUACUGACGCUGAGGAGCGAAAGCGUGGGGAGCGAACAGGAUUAGAUACCCUGGUAGUCCACGCCGUAAACGGUGGGAACUAGGUGUUGGCGACAUUCCACGUCGUCGGUGCCGCAGCUAACGCAUUAAGUUCCCCGCCUGGGGAGUACGGCCGCAAGGCUAAAACUCAAAGGAAUUGACGGGGGCCCGCACAAGCGGCGGAGCAUGUGGCUUAAUUCGACGCAACGCGAAGAACCUUACCAAGGCUUGACAUACACCGGAAACGUCUGGAGACAGGCGCCCCCUUGUGGUCGGUGUACAGGUGGUGCAUGG
rnacentral:rRNA from 1 species